rnacentral:rRNA from 1 species
GCUUAACACAUGCAAGUCGAGGGGCAUCAGGACGAUAGCUUGCUAUUGUUGCUGGCGACCGGCGCACGGGUGAGUAACGCGUAUCCAACCUGGCCCUUAGUAGGGGAUAGCCCGGCGAAAGUCGGAUUAAUACCCUAUGUUUUCCUUUGAUGGCAUCUGAUUUGGAAUAAAGAUUGAUCGCUAAGGGAUGGGGAUGCGUCUGAUUAGGUAGUAGGCGGGGUAACGGCCCACCUAGCCAACGAUCAGUAGGGGUUCUGAGAGGAAGGUCCCCCACAUUGGUACUGAGACACGGACCAAACUCCUACGGGAGGCAGCAGUGAGGAAUAUUGGUCAAUGGACGAGAGUCUGAACCAGCCAAGUAGCGUGCAGGAAGACUGCCCUAUGGGUUGUAAACUGCUUUUAUGCGGGAAUAAAGUUCGGCACGUGUGCCGUUUUGUAUGUACCGCAUGAAUAAGGACCGGCUAAUUCCGUGCCAGCAGCCGCGGUAAUACGGAAGGUCCGGGCGUUAUCCGGAUUUAUUGGGUUUAAAGGGAGCGCAGGCCGAAGGUUAAGCGUGACGUGAAAUGUACCGGCUCAACCGGUGACUUGCGUCGCGAACUGGCUUUCUUGAGUGAGUACGACGUCAGCGGAAUUCGUGGUGUAGCGGUGAAAUGCUUAAGAUAUCACGAACAACCCCGAUUGCGAAGCAGCUGACGAGUCCUUAACUGACGCUAAUGCUCGA